AACCAACAUAGGUUGUUGGUAAGCCCGUAAAACCAACGUAGGUUGUUGGUAAGCCCGUAAAACCAACGUAGGUUGUUGGUGAACCCGUAAAACCAAUUGUAUAGGUUCGUUGGUAAGCCCGUAAAACCAACAUAGGUUUUUGGUGAACCCGGAAAACCAAAGUGUAAAGAUUUUUGGAUUGUGAGCCCGGAAAACAAUCCAACUAUAAUCCGCGGGAUUAUAGUGAAUUCCCAAGGGUUCGCUUGGGGAGUGGAUGUAGGUGCUAAGGAGAGCACCGAACCACUAUACUUCUUGUUGUUUGUAUUGUGAUUUGUUU
rnacentral:lncRNA from 1 species